CUCAUGCGGCUUAAAAAUUUUAAUUCCAUUGGUUUUUAAAAUUAGAAAAAAAAACAAAUAAAUAAAAUAAACUACUGAUAAAAAUUAAGAAACACGAACUGCGCGUGUGCGCAUGUAAGUGUAAAUUAUUUAGGUAUUUGUAACAAGUAAUAAAGAUAAGUCAGUCAAUAAUUUUAAUGUCAUGUAGAUAAUAUUUGAUAGGACAAUAUCAAACACUGCUAUUCUAGACGACAAUAUUAAUAAUUAAUGUUAAUAUAUAAAUUAACAUCGCAAUGAAUAUCUAAUAAUUCAAUCGGUAUUUUGAAUUUAGAAAUCAAAUUGGAACAUUGAGAGACAUUUGACAUGCGAAAAUGCCGUAAACGUUGCGGUAUUAUCUGUGUCCUCGGGCUAUUUGCCAGCUCACAUGCUCACAAACACACCCAAUAUAUCAUCACACAUUCAAACUCAUAAAACUUUUACGAAAUUUAUAUUUUAUUUCUCCAAAAAUCAAAGAUAUUUUAAACGUAAAAAAAUCAACUGCGGUAAUUUACAUAAACUAAUUAAAUUUUUUUUUAAUUAUUAUUUAAUCAAUUAAAAAAUUUUUAUAAGUUCUCACUUUAAUGACAAGUAAUAAUUAAAUUAAUAUUUUUUUUCCUCUGAGUUUUUUUUAAUUAGUAAUCAAUUAAAGUCUUAUAUAAUGUACAGAGUAAUAUCGAAUGUAGAUCACCGCGAUUCAGUGGACAUGAAGACAUCAGCAAUCAUGACACGAGAAUAACUAUAGUCUCUUUCAUGUACAAUUAAUCAAUAAUUGAAGGUAUGGAAAUAAAAAGAUUAUGAGUUUGUUUAAACUUUUUCAGCUGAGAGAUUGGUUCUGGUUUAUUCUCAAUAAAAUCUCAGGUUCUAGUCAAAAGAAAGCGUCAUCGUUUCAGUUAAUCGUGUGGGUGGAGAACCUACACUUAGAUCUGCCUUAUUUGGGAGUGGUCGUUGAAUUACCGACUCAGACUUAGUACCCAAGUAUUGCAAGAGGAUCCACGCAAUAAGGAGUGAUCGAGAGUUAUUGGUUUGCCUUGAUGUGGAUCGAUUCCACCGAAAAGGGAUGUAUCGACGUAACAUACCUCCUGAGAGUAACAUUGUCGUUUUAUGGGAAUUGAGCGCGAGUACGUGCGAUUAAAUACAUAAAAUCAUCAAUCUUGCAGCACUCACAUUAUCAUCUUUCUUUCGCUUUUUACGACUAAAGUCAACUUGAAUCUCCUUUUAAUUCAAAAUGAAAGCCAAUUAUUUACAGCUGCCGAUUCAUCCAUAAAUCUGACCUCGUAACUUUUAAUCUAUUAAUUUAUUUUACACUGUAAAAAAUAGGGAGUGAUUACGGAUUUUAAAUCCAAAGUCACUCGGAGUUUCGGAGUUUUUAAAAAAAAUCACUCCGCAUACAGAGUGAAUAGAGAGUUUGUUUUUUCAGCGAAGUGAUUUCGGAGUGAUCUGGGUUUUAUUUAAAUUUUAAAUGAUUAAAAAAAUUUUUUUCUUCCGUAAUUUCUGUGACUUUACAUUUUGAAAGCCUCUAAAAUUAUUCAAGAUGACAACCAGUUGUCAGAAUGAUAAAAAAAGUAACGAUUGACACGCAGGGAAGAUUCUUGGAGACGUGGCUAGACACAAUCCAGACACAUGUUUCUAUGAAUGUUCUAGGGCUCAAAUAAAUAAACAGUCAUCGGCUGCGAUUCACUCUGCAAAUUUUUUAGUGUAUUUGUAUUUAUAUACACUGGUAAUAAUUUUUGGUGUGAAAAAGGUCCUCGAGGACUUUUCUCGGUGAUAAUUGACAGUUAUAUUUUACACCGGUCAUUAGUUCAAAACUCAUAUAUUGUCCGAUAUAUGGUCUGUAGUUAAAAAAGACCCAAUAACUGUUUUUAAUAUUAACAUUAAAUUAUUUAACUUUAACUUUAAAAAUUAUCAAGUAAAGUCAAGUAUUUUUAAUUAAAAAAAUUACUCAUCGCACCGCGAACUCUGAAUUUUUUACAGUGUAGUAAUUAGUAGUUAAAUAUUCUAAAAACAUUUUAACAAUCUGUUAUAUAAAUGAAUAUUUAAAUAUUUAUUUUACGUAACAAAAAUGUAUGUGCUAAAAAAAUAUUUAUAAAUAUUCAAUAUUCUUACUAUUGUUAUUUUUCUUUAUUUAACGUCGCAAUAUUUUCAUAUUGAGUUUCUCUUAACAAAGAGACUCGAUUAUUUGCAAUAUUGAUUAUCGUUUUUAAAGAAAUAAACUUUUGCAGUUACUGUAUUACGAGAAACAACUAUUAGUUGUUUCCGACAAUCCAUAACAGAGUUUACACACCAAGAUAUGCGACAGUACAAUUGUAGCUCGUGAUUCUCUUAUAUAUUUAUCUAAAAAUAUUAACUUGCGGACCAGGGUAAAAAAG